AACGAACGCUGGCGGCAUGCCUAACACAUGCAAGUCGAACGAGACCUUCGGGUCUAGUGGCGCACGGGUGCGUAACGCGUGGGAACCUGCCCUUAGGUUCGGAAUAACUCCCCGAAAGGGGUGCUAAUACCGGAUAAUGUCUUCGGACCAAAGAUUUAUCGCCUUUGGAUGGGCCCGCGUUGGAUUAGCUAGUUGGUAGGGUAAAAGCCUACCAAGGCGACGAUCCAUAGCUGGUCUGAGAGGAUGAUCAGCCACGCUGGGACUGAGACACGGCCCAGACUCCUACGGGAAGCAGCAGUGGGGAAUAUUGGACAAUGGGCGAAAGCCUGAUCCAGCAAUGCCGCGUGAGUGAUGAAGGCCUUAGGGUUGUAAAGCUCUUUUACCCGGGAUGAUAAUGACAGUACCGGGAGAAUAAGCUCCGGCUAACUCCGUG
rnacentral:rRNA from 1 species